AUAACGCGUCCGGUUUGGCUGCAACUUCAAACAGUGGACAUAUGGUUGCUCCUUCAGGUAGCUAUAAUUACCCUCUCUAUAAUGCAAUAUCGUAUUAUCCAUUUGUAAUGAAUGAUAGUAACACUAAAUCGGAUUGGAUUCAGUUAAAUCUACAUUUCUCAAGGUCUCUAACAUCGAGAUUUGAAAUAUCUUUCAUGUAAAUACCUUCUUUGUCAUGUGACUUGUAUAUAUUCGUGUAUAUUCAGAAUCGUACCUACGCACAAUGUCUUUGCACAAUGGCACAAGCAACGUGGUCUCUUUCUGUAAAACAUAGCACUCUUUAUUUCAGCCACAGCAAAGAUCCCGAACCACGUGCAGUCAGCAGAGUUACAGCGUCUGGUUACCGUCUUGCAGUUACGAUACAGCUUCAUGACAGUGUGAACAUUGAGUGCCCCCUACACAAGUAUGCAGUCACUGACAACUGAUGGAGUGACCUAUACAAAACGGAGGAUGCAGACGACUAGUACAAGCACGCACGCACACACACACUCACACGCACGCACGCACAUGCUAUAUAAGUGCAAUUAUCUUGGACGCGACAUUCAACCCAAUUUCAACUCACCUCACUUAUCUUACUUUGUUCAUGUGCCUAAAGCUUGUGGAAUGUGUUAAUUACUGAAAUGAAAAGCAUUUUAAUGUUUUUUUCAUAUCUUUUCAGAAUAUGUGCACAUAGCUUUCAAUGACCAGACGAAAAAAAGAAUUCAUUUCAAGUAUGUUGAGAAGAAAACGACCCAUCUCUGAAAAAAUCACCUCACCCAAGAAAAUACGACUCAUUCAUGAGAAUGAAAAGUGCAAAGUCUCCCAAGGAAUUGUCUUGUAAUAUAGCAUGUGAAUAAAUAAUUUUUUGAAAUA